GGGGACGACUUGGCUUCGACGUGGGUCGCGAAACCUGAGGUGCAUGCCGAGAAUGUAGGGAAUCUCGUAAACUCUCCUGCAAAUUAUAGUUGCCAACGACG
rnacentral:tmRNA from 1 species